rnacentral:rRNA from 1 species
GACGAACGCUGGGGGCGUGCCUAAUACAUGCAAGUCGAACGAAGCUGUUUUAACUGGUGCUUGCACCGACUUAAACAACUGAGUGGCGAACGGGUGAGUAACACGUGGGUAACCUGCCCCAAAGCGGGGGAUAACAUUUGGAAACAGAUGCUAAUACCGCAUAAUCACAGAAACCACAUGGUUUCUGUGUCAAAGAUGGUUUCGGCUAUCACUUUGGGAUGGACCCGCGGCGUAUUAGCUAGUUGGUAAGGUAAUGGCUUACCAAGGCAAUGAUACGUAGCCGAACUGGGAGGUUGAUCGGCAACAUUGGGACUGAGACACGGCCCAAACUCCGACGGGAGGCAGCAGUAGGGAAUCUUCCACAAUGGACGAAAGUCUGAUGGAGCAACGCCGCGUGGGUGAAGAAGGUUUUCGGAUCGUAAAACUCUGUUGUCAGAGAAGAACGUGUGCGAGAGUAACUGUUCGUGCAGUGACGGUAUCUGGCCAGAAAGCCACGGCUAACUACGUGCCAGCAGCCGCCGUAA